rnacentral:rRNA from 1 species
UACGGAGGGGGCUAGCGUUGUUCGGAAUUACUGGGCGUAAAGCGCUCGUAGGCGGAUUGGUCAGUCAGAGGUGAAAGCCCAGGGCUCAACCCUGGAACUGCCUUUGAUACUGCCAGUCUAGAGUUCGGGAGAGGUGAGCGGAAUUCCGAGUGUAGAGGUGAAAUUCGAUAGAUAUUGGAGGAACACCAGAGGCGAAGGCGGCUCACUGGACCGAUACUGACGCUGAGGAGCGAAAAGCGUGGGGAGCAAACAGGAUUAGAUACCCCCUGUAGUCC